rnacentral:rRNA from 1 species
CCUACGUGAGGCAGCAGUCGAGAAUCAUUCACAAUGGGGGAAACCCUGAUGGUGCGACGCCGCGUGGGGGAAUGAAGGUCUUCGGAUUGUAAACCCCUGUCAUGUGGGAGCAAAUUAAAAAGAUAGUACCACAAGAGGAAGAGACGGCUAACUCUGUGCCAGCAGCCGCGGUAAUACAGAGGUCUCAAGCGGUGUUCGGGAUCACUGGGCUUAAAGCGUGCGUAGGCUGUUUCGUAAGUCGUGUGUGAAAGGCGCGGGCUCAACCCGCGGACGGCACAUGAUACUGCGAGACUAGAGUAAUGGAGGGGGAACCGGAAUGCUCGGUGUAGCAGUGAAAUGCGUAGAUAUCGAGAGGAACACUCGUGGCGAAGGCAGGUUCCUGGACAUUAACUGACGCUGAGGCACGAAGGCCAGGGGAGCGAAAGGGAUUAGAUACCCGAGUAGUC